UAUUAACCAUCACAGUGGUAGACUCCCUGCAGAGCACUGUCUCUGUAAAGAAAGGACAGGAUGAGGAUUAACCAUUAGACAUUUAAUUUUGGUGGUGUUUUAAAUUUUCUAUUUAUACUUUAGAAGUAAGUUUGUAACAUUGCUUAUCUAGGAUUAAUAAGAGGUAAGAGUAAGAAGAUAUGAUUAUGAGGAGGCAUGGGUAAGAGAGAGGGUAGCCAGUUUCAGGGUUCAGGUGGGGAUGGUUGGAAGAAGAAUAAGAGUAAGAAUGGAAGUAUGAGGAAGGGAGAUAGGGCAGGAUUUAUUCUAUUUACCCAGUAAUUAUGCUUAUAAUACAGGCCCCUUAUCAACUCAUUCAUUUAUUUAUUCAACAAAUACUUGUUAAUUGAUGUUAUGCUAGGUGCCAGGGAAUAAAAUGCAAAUAAGAUAUCAUCAAAUAGUGAAGAGAGUUCUUCAUAGGCUUACAGAAGAGAUACAAAACAAAAUUAUUUGGGAGUCUAGAGAGAAAAGAAAGUUCUUUAUUAUUCUUCAGUAGGUCAGGAAAGAGAUAUUGAAUGGCUAGAAGUUUUUCAUUUGACAACAAAUACUUAAUGAGCACCUAUUAUGUGGCAGGCUUUAUUCUUGCUAUUGAGAAUAUAGCAUCAAACAACACAAAGUCCUUAUUCUUGAGGAGCUUUCAUUCUGGAAGGGGAAGACAAGAAAGUUACAUGCAGUGUUUCUUUUUUCUUUGUAAGUGUUAUAGAAAAAAAAGCAGAAUAACAAGGUAGAAAAUGGAUGGUGCUAUUUUAUUAGGGUGGAUAAGGAUGGCUUCACAAAGAAGAUAACAUUUGAGCAGAAACACAAAGGGAGGAAGGAGGCCAUGCAGAUAUCUAGGGUGUGAACGCUGCAGGUAGAGGCAACAACAAGCACAAAGGCCCUGAAAUGGGAGCAGCUUGACAUAUUUUAGGUACAACAACGAGGCCAGUGUGGCUGGAACACAGAAUGCAAGGGAAGAACAAUAGAAUAUGAGAUCGUAGAGAUAUCAAGGGGACCGUAUUCUGGAGGGUCUUGCAGCUUAUGUAAGAACUUUAGAUUAUACUCUGAAUGAGAUGGGCAAUACUGGAAAGUUUUGAGUAGAUGAUGAUUAUGGUGCUGGGUAUAAUUAACAGAUUAUGUGUGCAUUGGAGAAGGGGGCAAAUAAGGAAGGAAGCUGGGAGGCUCUCACAACAAUCCAGUUGCAGGGUGAUGAUGGCUCAUAUCUGAGUGGUAGGAAUAGCAUAAUGAGAAAUGGUUGGAUUCUGUGUGUAUUUUAAAUGUGGAGCCCAGGAGAUUUGCUAUUGGAUUGGAUAUAUUCUGUGAGAAAAAGAGAGGAGUCAAGGAUAACUCCAAGGUUUCUCACAUGGAGAUGGAGCAACUAUAAGAUAGAUAUGUGAUCUUACAUAACAUGGAGCAACUAACAUGGUGAAGGCUGCAAAAGGAGCAGGUAUGGUGGGGGAAGUAUGGGGAAUUAAUACUUAUAUCUUAAUAUGUGGAAUUUUAGAUGUUUAUUGGUGAGACAUGCAAGUGGAGAUGAUGAGUAGAUUAUUGGCCGUAUGAACCUAGAGUUCAGAGGAAGAAUCAGAAAUGCAUUUGAGAAUUAUCUACGUAUUGAUAGCAAUAAAGUCCUGGGACUGGAUGAGAUUUCCUAAGGAGUGAGUGAAGUAGAGAAGAGGCUUAAGUGUGAACCCUGGAUCACUCUGAUAUUUAACAUCUGGGGUGGUGAGGAAGAAAUGGUAAAGGAGAGAACAGGAAGAAGUGGCUGCUAAAUUAGAAAAACCAAGGUAAUUCAAAUGGAGAAAAGGACAGUUUUUCUGAUAAAUGGUGCUAGACAAACUGAAUAUCCAUGUGGGGGAAAAAUGAAUCUUAGCCCUUAACUCACUCUAUAUACAAAAUUAACUCAAAAUAGACCUAAGCAUCAGAUCUGAAAUGAGAUAAAGCUUCUAGAGGAAAACAGAAGAAUAUGUCCUUGGUAUAGGCAAAGAUUUCUUGGAACACAAAGUUGUAAAAGAAAAUAAAUUGGACUUCAAAAUUUCAAAACUUCUACUCUUCAAAUACACUGUUAAGAAAAUGAAAAGGCAAACUAAAAACUGUCAAAUUAUUUGCUGUACAUAUAACAUUUCUUUAUGUAUUUUGGAUAUAAAACCUUUGUCAGUUAUAACUCAAUAAGAGACAGACAACUCACUAAAAAAUUUGGCAAAAUUUUAGACAGUUCACAAAAGAAGAUAUGUGAAUGACCAAGAAACAUACGAAAAGAUGUUCAACAUCAUUAAUCAUUAAGGAUAUGCAAAUUAAACUACCACUACAUACCCACUAGAAUGGCUAAAAUUUAAAAGAUUGACAUAACCAAGUAUUGGUGAGAAUAUGGAAUUCUUAUACAUUACUUAUGGGAAUGUAAAAUUAUAUAACUACUUUGAAAAACAAUUUGGCAGUUUAGUAUAAACAUCCCCUUUCUGUACAGUCUGGCAAAUCCACUUGUAGAUAUUUACCCAAAAGAAAUGCAUAUAUGUGGCCGGGCGCGGGUGGCUCGCGGCUGUAAUCCUAGCACUUUGGGAGGCCGAGGCAGGCGGAUCACGAGGAGUUCAAAACCAUCCUGGCUAACACGGUGAAACCCCGUCUCUACUAAAAAUACAAAAAAUUAGCUGGGCGUGGUGGCAGGUGCCUGUAGUCCCAGCUACUCAGGAGGCUGAGGCAGGAGAAUGGCGUGAACCCAGGAGGCGGAGCUUGCACUGAGCCGAGAUCGCGCCACCGCACUGCAGCCUGGGCGACAGAGCGAGACUCCAUCUCAAAAAUAAAAAAAAAAAAAAAAAAAAAGAAAUGCAUAUAUGUCCAUACAAAGACUGCACAUGGAUGAACAUAGAAUCUUUAUUAAUAAGAGCCUUGAACUGAAAACAAUUGAAGGUAAUUGUGGAAUAUCCAUGCAAUGUAAUACUGAGCAAUUAAAUAAGACCAAACUGCUGAUAUGUGAAAGAACACGGAUAAGCUCCAAAAACAUGUUGAAAGAACAAAGCCAGAUGUAAAACAGCAUAUAGUGCACAACUGCAUUUCUGGAAAAUUGUAAUACAGACUAAAAUAAUCUAUAAUAACAGAAAAUAAUAACUGGGCUCCAGUUUUAAAAUACAUACAGAAUCCAUGUGUGUCUCAUUAUACUGUUUUACCACCCAGAUCUGAGCCACCAUCACCCUGCAACUGGAUGAUUAUGAGAGCCUCCCAGCUUCCUCCAUUAUUCGCUACCCCCCCAAUACACACACACAACAUGUGUAUCUAUGAAUAUAGAUUCUACAUGCAAUUAUGGUCCUUAGUUUAGAACAUACACAAAAAUCAAUUUUAUGUGGGUUAAAAAUUAAUAGGCUAUAUUUUAGAGCUAAAACUUAAAACUAUAGAAAAACUGAAUGGAUUAUGAAGUGUUCCUAUAUAUCCUCCCUUCCCCACAGUUUCCCCUGGUUUCAGCGUCUUGCAUUAGUGUGGUAUAUUUGUUAUAAUUAAUAAACCAAUAUUGAUAGAUUAUUAUUAACUAAAGUCCAUAGUUUACAUUAGGGUUCUCUUUGUGCUGUAUAGUUCUGUGGGUUUUGACAAAUGCAUAAUAUCAGGUAUCCACCAUUACAAUACCAUACAGAAUAAUUUCACUGUCCUAAAAGUCCCCUGUGCUUCACCUAUCCAUCCCUUCCAUCACCCUCCAAGAAUCCAUGCAACCAUGGACCUUUUUAUUCCCUCUAUUGUUUUACGUUUUCUAAGAUGUCAUGUAGUUGGAAUGACAGAGUAUGUAAACUUUUCAGACUGGAAUCUUUCACUUUGCAAUAUGCAUUUGUUUCCUCUGUAUCUUUUAAUGGCUUGGUAGCACAUUUCUUUUUAGUGCUAAAUAAUGUUCCAUUGUAUGGAUGUAUCACAGUUUGAAUUAUUCAUUUAUCUAUUGAGGGACAUCUUAGUUGCUUUCCAUUUGGGGCAAUUAUGAAUAAAGCUGUUAUCAACAUUGUGUGCAGGUUUUUGUGUGGCCAUAAUACCAAAACACAUUCUAAUUCAUCUGGGUUAAAUACUUAAGAGCAUAUUGGUAUUUGUAUUAAGUCCGUGUUUACCUUCGUCAGAAACUGCCAGAUUGUGUUCUAAAGCAGCUGUGCCAUUUUGCACUUUCCAUCCAUAAUAGAUGCGAGGUCCUGUUGGUCCACAUUCUUGCCAGCCUUUGAUAUUGUCAGGUUUUUUGUUUUAGUCGUUCUAAUCCAUGUGCAGUAGUACCUCAAUUUUCAAUUCCCUAAUGACAUGUGAUGCUGAACAUAUUUUCAUAUGAUCAUUUGCCACAUGUAUAUCUUCUUUGAUGAAGUGUCUGUUCAGAUAGUUCAUCCAUUUUUUAAUUGGGUUAUCUUUUUGUGGCUCGUCUUUUCAUUCUCUUAAGAGUUUUUUAGAGCAGAAAAUUUUAAUUUUAAUGAAGUCCAACUUGAUUUCUUUUAUGGAUUGUACCUUUGAUGUUCUAAAAACUCAUUAUCAAACCUUGGAUCAUUUAGAUUUUCUUCCUGUGUUAUCUUCUAGAAGUUAACAUUUUGAAUUUUAAAUUUAGGUCUAUGAUUCAUUUUGAGUUGAUUUUCGUGAAAGGUGUAAGGUCUGUGUCUCGACUUUUUUGAGGGGGGAAUACAAAUGUCCAGUUUUUGUAGUACCAUUUGUUGAAAAGACUAUCUUUUCUCCACUGGAUUGCCUCUACUCCUGUCAGAGGUCAGUUGACUGUAUUUGUGUGAGUCUAUUUCUGGACUCUUUAUUUUGUUCAUAAGUGUAAAUCAAUUUGUCUAUUUUUUAAAUUAAUACCACAUCAUCUUGAUAAUUGUAGUUUUAAAAUAAGUCUGAAAUAAGGUAGUGUCAGUUUUCAGAUUGUUUUUAUUCUUUGAUAUUGUAUUGGCUCUUCUGAGUGUUUUGUUUUUCCAUAUAAACUUUAGAAUCAAUUUGUUGAUAUUCACAAAACAGCUUGCUAGGAAUUUGAUUUGGAUUGCAUUGAAUCUAUAGAUCAAGUUGGGGAUAACUGACAUCUUGACAAUAUUGAUUUUUUUUAAUGCCUGAACAUGAAAUAUCUUUCCCUUUAUUUAGAUUUUCUUUGAUAUUUUUCAGUCUUACAGUUUUCCUCAUAUAUAUUUUGUCAGAUAUAUAGAUAUAUAUAUCUAUAAACAUCCCAGGUAGCUGGGAUUACAGGCACAUGCCACCACGCCCAGCUAAUUUUUGUAUUUUUAGUAGAGACGGGGUUUCACCAUGUUGGCCAGGCUGGUCUCGAACUCCUAACAUCAGGUGGUCUGCCUGCCUCAGGCUCCCAAAGUGCUGGGAUUACAGGCGUGAGCCACUGUGCCUGGCCAGAGUUAUAUAUUUUAUCUAUAUAUGUAUAUAGUUUAUCUAAAAAUAUUUUUCUCAUAUAUAUGUAUAUAUUUUAUCUAAGCCAGAUUAAUUUAUAUUUAUACAUUUUAUCAGAUUUACACCUAGUUAUUUUGGGUGCUUUUGGUGCUAAUGUAAAAGAUGCUUUGAAUUUCAAAUUCCAAUUGUUUAUUGAUGGUAUGUAGGAAAGUUAUUGACUUUAAUAUAUUAACAUUGUGUCAUGCAAUCUUGCUAUUUGUCGUAAUUGCUUAUUAAUUCCAGGAAUUUUUUUUCCACAUAGACAAUCAUGUCAUAUGUGAACAAAGACAGUUUUAUUUGUUUCUUCCCAACCUGUAUGCCUUUUGUCUUCUUUUCUGGUCUUACUGCAUUGGCUAGGAUUUCAGUGUAAUGUUGAAUAGGUGUGGUGAGAGGGACAUCCUGGUUUCAUUCCUUAUCUUAGGCAGAAAGCAACUAGUUUCCCACCAUUAAGUAUGAUGUUAGCUGGAAGUUUUUGGUAGAUAUUCCUUAUCAAGCUGAAAAAGUUUUCUUAAAUUUUUAAUUUGCUGAGAGUUCUGAUCAUGAAUAAAUGUUGGAUUUUUCAAAUGCUUUUGCUGCAUUUAUUGAUAUGAUUUUUCUUCUUUAACCUGAUUUUAUGGAUUAUAUUAAUAAAUUUUUGAACAUUCAAUCAGCCUUGCAUACCUGCCGUAUGGUUGUGAUGGAUUGAUUGAUUUCCUCGUAUUUUGUUGGAGAUUUUAACACCUGUAUUCAUGAGAUACAUUGGUACAUGAUUUUUCUUUCUUGCAAUAUCUUCAUCUGGUUUUGGUAUUAAGGUGAUACUGGCCUAUUAGAAUAAAUUAGUAAGUGUUCCCUCUGCUUCUGUUUUCUGGAAGAGAUUGUGAAGAAUUGUUAUCAUUUCUUUCUUAAAUGUUUGGUAGAAUUCACCAGUGAGACUAUCUGGGCCUGGUGCUUUGUGUUUUGGAAGGUUAUUAAUUGCUCAUUCAAUUUCUU
rnacentral:lncRNA from 1 species